AGAAGUUUAGGAUAAAUAACAGUCCAAGGGCCUUCAAAGCCCUAAGUAAAUUAGACCAUUUAACUUCUG
rnacentral:tRNA from 1 species